UGGGCAGUAGCUCAGUGGUAGAGCUCCCGCUCUGUAUGCGGGAAGACCUGAGUCCGAUACCCGGCUGCUUAU
rfam:Toxocara canis scaffold476, whole genome shotgun sequence.